CCUACGGGGGGCAGCAGUGAGGAAUAUUGGUCAAUGGACGAGAGUCUGAACCAGCCAAGUAGCGUGAAGGAUGACUGCCCUAUGGGUUGUAAACUUCUUUUAUAUGGGAAUAAAAUGUUCCACGUGUGGGAUUUUGUAUGUACCAUAUGAAUAAGGAUCGGCUAACUCCGUGCCAGCAGCCGCGGUAAUACGGAGGAUCCGAGCGUUAUCCGGCUUUAUUGGGUUUAAAGGGAGCGUAGGUGGAUUGUUAAGUCAGUUGUGAAAGUUUGCGGCUCAACCGUAAAAUUGCAGUUGAAACUGGCAGUCUUGAGUACAGUAGAGGUGGGCGGAAUUCGUGGUGUAGCGGUGAAAUGCUGAGAUAUCACGAAGAACUCCGAUUGCGAAGGCAGUUCACUGGACUGCAACUGACACUGAGGCUCGAAAGUGUGGGUAUCAAACAGGAUUAGAUACCCCUGUAGUC
rnacentral:rRNA from 1 species